rnacentral:rRNA from 1 species
CCUACGGGAGGCAGCAGUGAGGAAUAUUGGUCAAUGGACGAGAGUCUGAACCAGCCAAGUAGCGUGAAGGAUGACUGCCCUAUGGGUUGUAAACUUCUUUUAUAUGGGAAUAAAAUGUUGCACGUGGGGGAUUUUGUAUGUACCAUAUGAAUAAGGAUCGGCUAACUCCGUGCCAGCAGCCGCGGUAAUACGGAGGAUCCGAGCGUUAUCCGGAUUUAUUGGGUUUAAAGGGAGCGUAGGUGGAUGGUUACGUCAGUUGUGAAAGUUUGCGGCUCAACCGUAAAAUUGCAGUUGAAACUGGCAGUCUUGAGUACAGUAGAGGUGGGCGGAAUUCGUGAUGUAGCGGUGAAAUGCUUAGAUAUCACGAAGAACUCCGAUUGCGAAGGCAGUUCACUGGACUGCAACUGACACUGAGGCUCGAAAGUGUGGGUAUCAAACAGGAUUAGAUACCCCGGUAGUC